rnacentral:rRNA from 1 species
CAGUAGCCGCGGGAAAACGUAGGGUGCAAGCGUUAAUCGGAAUUACUGGGCGUAAAGCGUGCGCAGGCGGUUAUAUAAGACAGAUGUGAAAUCCCCGGGCUCAACCUGGGAACUGCAUUUGUGACUGUAUAGCUAGAGUACGGCAGAGGGGGAUGGAAUUCCGCGUGUAGCAGUGAAAUGCGUAGAUAUGCGGAGGAACACCGAUGGCGAAGGCAAUCCCCUGGGCCUGUACUGACGCUCAUGCACGAAAGCGUGGGGAGCAAACAGGAUUAGAUACCCCAGUAGUCCCUGUCUCUUAUAC